rnacentral:rRNA from 1 species
UCGGGAAUUUUGGGCAAUGGGCGAAAGCCUGACCCAGCAACGCCGCGUGAAGGAUGAAGUAUUUCGGUAUGUAAACUUCGAAAGAAUAGGAAGAAUAAAUGACGGUACUAUUUAUAAGGUCCGGCUAACUACGUGCCAGCAGCCGCGGUAAUACGUAGGGACCAAGCGUUGUUCGGAUUUACUGGGCGUAAAGGGCGCGUAGGCGGCAAUUCAAGUCAUCUGUGAAAUCUCCGGGCUUAACUCAGAACGGCCAAGUGAUACUGUCGCGCUAGAGUGCAGAAGGGGCAAUCGGAAUUCUUGGUGUAGCGGUGAAAUGCGUAGAUAUCAAGAGGAACACCUGAGGUGAAGACGGGUUGCUGGGCUGACACUGACGCUGAGGCGCGAAAGCCAGGGGAGCAAACGGGAUUAGAUACCCCGGUAGUCCCUGAGCGGGCUGGCAAGGCGCAU